AUUGAACGCUGGCGGCAUGCCUUACACAUGCAAGUCGAACGGCAUCGCGGGAAAGCUUGCUUUCCUGGCGGCGAGUGGCGAACGGGUGAGUAACACAUCGGAACGUACCGGCUAGUGGGGGAUAACCCGUCGAAAGACGGGCUAAUACCGCAUACGCUCUUCGGAGGAAAGCCGGGGACCUUUGGGCCUUGCGCUAGCCGAGCGGCCGAUGUCCGAUUAGCUAGUUGGUGGGGUAAAGGCCUACCAAGGCGACGAUCGGUAGCGGGUCUGAGAGGACGAUCCGCCACACUGGGACUGAGACACGGCCCAGACUCCUACGGGAGGCAGCAGUGGGGAAUCUUGGACAAUGGGGGCAACCCUGAUCCAGCAAUGCCGCGUGGGUGAAGAAGGCCUUCGGGUUGUAAAGCCCUUUCGGCAGGGAAGAAAUCGGCGGGGCGAAUAACCCUGCUGGAUGACGGUACCUGCAGAAGAAGCACCGGCUAACUACGUG
rnacentral:rRNA from 1 species